AUUGAACGCUGGCGGCAGGCUUAACGCAUGCAAGUCGAGCGGUAACAGAGAGAAGCUUGCUUCUCUGCUGACGAGCGGCGGACGGGUGAGUAAUGCCUAGGGAUCUGCCUAGUAGUGGGGGAUAACUUGCCGAAAGGUAAGCUAAUACCGCAUACGUCCUACGGGAGAAAGGAGGGGACCUUCGGGCCUUUCGCUAUUAGAUGAGCCUAGGUCGGAUUAGUUAGUUGGUGAGGUAAUGGCUCACCAAGACCGCGAUCCGUAACUGGUCUGAGAGGAUGAUCAGUCACACUGGAACUGAGACACGGUCCAGACUCCUACGGGAGGCAGCAGUGGGGAAUAUUGGACAAUGGGGGGAACCCUGAUCCAGCCAUGCCGCGUGUGUGAAGAAGGUCUUAGGAUUGUAAAGCACUUUAAGUUGGGAGGAAGAGCAGUUAACUAAUAUUUGACUGUUUUGACGUUACCGACAGAAUAAGCACCGGCUAACUUCGUGCCAGCCGCCGCGGUAA
rnacentral:rRNA from 1 species